ACGUGAUUUCGAGGUUUAAGUUUUUAGAUAUGCCUAAUAGAUCUAUCAUUAAAAUAAUUCCAAAAUUCUUUUUGUGGAAAUGUAGCACGACUCUAAAAGGCUGUUGUGUUUCAUAUUUAAUUUAAGCUAUGAACGGGUACAUGCAACCUAGGCCUUAUCAUCCAAUGUCGUUACUCCUUUAAGCAUAAAUCUGUACUAUUUGUCCAAGCUUUUCCAUUAAAAUUUAGGUAACAAAAUAUUUCCAAGCAGCAUAUUAGAUCAAUUACACUUAUUUUGAAAAUAGAAGCCUUGAGUGCCUUAAUAGAAUUAGGAAUUGAAAUCAUUAAUUGGGCUACAAAAUUUUAGCAAUUUAGCACGGGAGCAUAUGUAAUGGACCUGAAGUGUAGAACUAAUGAAAAAUAAAUUAUAAUGCAAAUCAUGCAAAUAAAUACAAAAAGUAGCAGGCACAUGCAAAGAGCAUGCCCAAGAACCAAAAAAGCACAAACACAACAAAACAAUAAAUGAAAAAAUGAUGAGGAAGCAUAUCUUCUUUUUAUGUUUAUACUUGUUAUUGUCUAAGAAGUAAGGUCAGUGAUUUUUCCUCCUAAAAUAUGUAAAAGAAGGUCACAAAUUGCUUUGACCUAGGGAUAGAUUACUAGAAUAAAAGGAAAGUAAUUGCAAACUAACUAAGAAAGAAUACCAAACCCUGCUGCAGUUCAAUUGAAAAAUUGGGCUACAUCUCUAUAGGGGAGAUUAAUAAAUCAAUUGUGUACUAAUAUUGUAUUAUGCAAAUCAGAGGUGAGGUUAUUGAGGAAGAAAAUUCCUCUCAAACAAACUUUUAUGCUUUACCAUGCCAAUGAAGAUAUUUAUGUUAGGGAAUCCAAAACCAUAAAUAUCCAAGAGAAUCGAAACUAAAGCACACAUUCACGAACAUCCAUCUCAUUAUAACUUUAUUAAUGCAUAUAAGUGAUUAAUGCUUAUAAUAAAUCAUUAGCUAAAUUUGACUUGCUUUCAAACAAUCAAUAUAGUCCUCAUAUGCAAUCCAUGUUAAGUUGCAUUUAAUUAAGCACAUUACUUGGUAAUGACUACCAAUCACCUGAAAUUGGAUGGUCUGUGCUCACUAGUUGUCCUCACGGUCUUAUAACUAACUUCACUAGUUGUCCUCACGGUCUUAUAACUAAUUAGGGCAAUUCACGUGGUCAGUGUGGUGAGACCCAUUUC
rnacentral:lncRNA from 1 species